rnacentral:rRNA from 1 species
UGGGGAAUAUUGCACAAUGGGCGAAAGCCUGAUGCAGCAACGCCGCGUGAGUGAUGAAGGUCUUCGGAUUGUAAAGCUCUGUCUUUUGGGACGAUAAUGACGGUACCAAAGGAGGAAGCCACGGCUAACUACGUGCCAGCAGCCGCGGUAAUACGUAGGUGGCGAGCGUUGUCCGGAUUUACUGGGCGUAAAGGGUGCGUAGGCGGAUGUUUAAGUGAGAUGUGAAAUACCCGGGCUUAACUUGGGUGCUGCAUUUCAAACUGGAUAUCUAGAGUGCAGGAGAGGAGAAUGGAAUUCCUAGUGUAGCGGUGAAAUUGCGUAGAGAUUAGGAAGAACACCAGUGGCGAAGGCGAUUCUCUGGACUGUAACUGACGCUGAGGCACGAAAGCGUGGGUAGCAAACAGGAUUAGAUACCCUGGUAGUCCACGCCGUAAACGAUGAGUACUAGGUGUAGGAGGUAUCGACCCCUUCUGUGCCGCAGUAAACACAUUAAGUACUCCGCCUGGGAAGUACGAUCGCAAGAUUAAAAC